GAUAAACGCUUGCGGCAGACCUAAUACAUGCAAGUCGUGGGGUAACAGAGAACUUCGGUUCUGCUGACGACCGGCAAACGGGUGAGUAACACGUAUGAAACUUACCUACGACUGAGGAAUAACUCAUGGAAACAUGUAGCUAAUACCUCAUAUUACAAUAUUAUCACAUGUUGAAAUUGUAAAAGACUUCGGUCGGUUGUAGAUAGUCAUGCGCUCUAUUAGCUUGUUGGUGAGGUAACAGCUCACCAAGGCAACGAUAGAUAGGGGGUUUGAGAGAAUGAUCCUCCACACUGGUACUGAGACACGGGACCAGACUCCUACGGGAGGCAGCAGUAAGGAAUAUUCGGCAAUGGGCGAAAGCCUGACCGAGUCAUGCCGCGUGUGGGAAGACGGCCUUCGGGUUGUAAACCACUUUUAUACAGAAAUAACGAGGUUACGUGUAACCAAAGUGAAGGUACUGUAAGAAUAAGCACCGGCUAACUCCGUGCCAGCAGCCGC
rnacentral:rRNA from 1 species